AAACCUGUGUUGUUCAAGAGUC
rnacentral:miRNA from 3 species